rnacentral:rRNA from 1 species
AUGGGUCUCUUCAGAAGAGCCCUCACCAACUGUCAGCUUAAGGAGCUGAAGCUGCAGAACCGGAGGUUUACUUGGAGCAACGAAAGGGAGACCCCUACUCUUGUGCGUCUGGAUCGGGCUUUCUGCAAUGCUACUUGGGACCUCAUGUUCGAGAAUCAUGUGUUACAUGCCCUAUCCUCGUCCCUCUCGGACCAC